CUAUUCCUUCUUAAUUUCUCUGUAACUCGUCGAUUGUCGAAAUCUCUUUGUCCUUUCUCCAAUCCCAGUUGAUCGCAUUAUUCACGUGAUCCACUCAUCAUCCAAUUAUCUGCAUCCUCACCAUCCCCAUCUCUUGUGAUGUUCCUUCUGUUUCCGCUUUCUUAUCUUCUUUCGAUCACGUUCUUCAAUACUGUAAGCACGUACAUUAGUUCCUCAAAUACAUAUUCUUUUUAUAGCACCUAAAGGCUAAGUUCAAGCUGAAAUAAAAGAAAACAUCCUACAUUAUUCUCUGGCAGGAUAUUCAUUGUAUAAGAAUUUAAUUGUCGAAUGAGAGGCUCUUCUUCUGUUCUACGUAUUCCUGUACCAGAUGAAUUACAUAAUUCUUUGAAUACUAGAACGCUACCAAUAUGGGCAAGUGUGAAUACUAGAAAUCAUCGCAGCAUUCUUGUGUACAAGAUUAGAUGCAUCUACCUUCAGGAUUAUAGUCUUCUCAAAUUGGUGUAAGAAGGUUUUGUAUUGUUUGAAUUAUUUGUACUGUAUUUGAACAAGAUUCUGAUUGAUAAUUGUGAUCAAUAAUAUCUAUCACAUAUAUAUCAUAUAUAUUAAAUCAUGAAUAUUAUAUUUCCAAUUAUUCGGAAUGUUUACAGAACCAAUUAUUGCAAUCCUUUUUACAUUAUUGCGGUUGUAGAAUUUGCGUUCCUUAAAGUCAACAUCUCUAUUGAAACUGUUCAACUACAAGUUAUAAGUGAUUUAAUUACAAAUGCAUUUGUUAUCACAUUAAAUGAAUUUAGCAAGGAUAACGCAGAGUUACUUAUUCUGACAAUAGCACUAAUUUUAUAGGAAUCAAUUUUAAGCUAUAAUUCUAUUUUAAGCUAUAUCAUUCUGUCUUUUAUAAAAAUAUCCAAAUAUUAAAUUAAAAUUAAUCAUUAGCUCACUGAUGUUGGAAUUAAUU